rnacentral:lncRNA from 1 species
CCGCCCCUCCCGCCCCCGCCGUUAAAACGGCCCCGGGCGGGCCCGGCCCGGCAAACAUGGGCGGGCGGCGGCUCCCGGCUCUGGCCGCUGUCACCGUCCUGCUCCUCGUGGCCGCCGCGGCGAGCGAUGGUCCCCCGGGUCGCCUGGAGGUGGCGCUGUCGGGGGAGGGGCAGAGCCCGGGUGAGGCCGGGGGGGAUUUGGGGACCCCCCGAAUUUGGGGGGGUCGGGGGGGGGGUUUGGGGACACCGUGGGGACAUCGUGUCCCCCCCAGUGUCCCCCCAAUGUCCCCAAUGUCCCCCCAGUGUCCCCAAUGUCCCCCCAGUGUCCCCAAUGUCCCCAAUGUCCCCCCAAUGUCCCCCAAUGUCCCCAAUGUCCCCAAUGUCCCCAAUGUCCCCCCAAUGUCCC